rnacentral:lncRNA from 1 species
AUUUUUUUUUUUGCCUCUGCAGUGUGUAACCAAGUAGCUGCACAGCCAAAAGCCUGGAGGCUGGCAGGGGGUGUGGGGCAGGGUGCGUGGAGUGGUUGUGGUUGUUCCUUUUGAAGCAUUGGCAACUAACUUUGCCUGAUGGAUUUCUGCAGGAAAUUCAAGAAAGUCUGUGAGAAAGGCCCUGUGGUGAGUGACACCGUGCCCCAGCAUGAGGGAAGGCAUCUGAAGCCAGCCCAGUUUGAAGUGCACUGCCUACGCUUUUGAUCCUCUGGUCAGCGAGCUCCUCACUACCUUCUAUUGUGACUGCAAUAACUUGCUGCCCUGGGAAGCCCAAGACCAAAGUGCCAGGAGAUUUCAUGUCUACUGAAGGGCUCACUCUCUGCUCCAAAAAAUUGAUCCUCCCAUGAGGAAAAGAAGGAACACUGGAAAUCACAUGGUAGGAGAAUGGAAGCUUUUCCAAAAAUUGUCAUGAAGCAGGCAGGUAUACUAUAAAAGCUGUAACUCAGGAAUCAUUUGUGCCAGGCAGUCUCUGCGAUCAUUCCCAGUCAUCUUCAACUCUUGGUACAAGAAAAGGGGGCUUAUUAAAUGGCACUGGACCUUCCUCAAAGAGUUCCAUUGCCGGUCAAGGCCCAGGCACUGGAGAGGAACUCGGAAGUCACCGAGAAGCUGCAACUUCAGCAGCACUGCGCAAAGGUAGUUGUGUUUAUGAAGUGAGUCACCGGGCUUCACCUGUAAUGUGAAACAAGAGAAGGGAGAGAAAGUUUCGCUGCAGCCAGACACUUAGAGGUGAAGGAGACAAAGUAGAAAUACAAACAGGUUCCCAACUAACUUCACACUUGAAAUAAAAUAUGGGAGCUAAAGUGACAAACAGCUGCGAAUGCCUGUGAUGUGCUUACACGUAUAGAAAAACCUUUCCCCAAAUAUGAGGGUCAGAUGAGUGCUGAAGAGGUGUGCACGGGUCACCAACAGCAUCUCCUACACCAUGUACCUUAAUUUUCAGAAUAGAGAAAUGAUUAAUUUAUCAUGUUUAAGUCUGAGGGAAGCCCUAUAAAAAACCUUCUCUUUUAUAUGCUAGUAUGAACUAAUAAUACAUUUCUUAAAAUGAGUCUCCUUAUGCUUACAUUACCACAAGUGCUUGAAAGCACAAUUUUUGAGCACAUAAGGUCCUAGAGACAUAGGGUACUGACUGAAACAUUCCUCAUUCCUCUGCCAAAUUCAGCAAUAGUACAAGUCAUGCAACAAGUGGGGAUGAAAAACAUUCUCUCCCAACAUCUUACUUUCAUCGUGUGAUGAAAACUCAAUUAAAAUGUACUGAGAUUACUUGAAAUACUUACCUUUUUAUAUGCCUCUAUCUUUAGUUUUUAGUAUAUGUGCCCUAGAGAAUGGUCAAUAUUUUAUUUCAUGUUAAUAACUGAUUAUAUAAUUUAAUUUAAAAAUAUUAAAUAUUUUUAAGUUAUUAAAUAAUUAACACUUAAUUUUAAAUAAAGCAAGCAUCUUUACUUUGG